rnacentral:rRNA from 1 species
AGCGAACGCUGGCGGCAGGCCUAACACAUGCAAGUCGAGCGGCCGUAGCAAUACGGCAGCGGCAGACGGGAGAGUAACACGUGGGAACGCGCCCUUCAGUCUGGAAUAACCCAGGGAAACUUGGGCUAAUACCGGAUACGCCCUUACGGGAAAAGAUUUAUUGCCGAAGGAACGGCCCGCGUCCGAUUAGCUAGUUGGUGAGGUAACGGCUCACCAAGGCGACGAUCGGUAGCUGGUCUGAGAGGAUGACCAGCCUCACUGGGACUGAGACACGGCCCAGACUCCUACGGGAGGCAGCAGUGGGGAAUAUUGGACAAUGGGCGCAAGCCUGAUCCAGCCAUGCCGCGUGGGUGAUGAAGGCCCUAGGGUUGUAAAGCCCUUUCAGCGGGGAAGAUAAUGACGGUACCCGCAGAAGAAGCCCCGGCUAACUUCGUGCCAGCCGCCGCAGUAAAAC